CCUACGGGUGGCAGCAGUAGGGAAUAUUGCUCAAUGGGGGAAACCCUGAAGCAGCAACGCCGCGUGGAGGAUGAAGGUUUUAGGAUUGUAAACUCCUUUUGUGAGAGAAGAUAAUGACGGUAUCCCACGAAUAAGCACCGGCUAACUCCGUGCCAGCAGCCGCGGGAAUACGGAGGGUGCAAUCGUUACUCGGAAUCACUGGGCGUAAAGAGUGCGCAGGCGGGUUUGUAAGUCCGAUGUGAAAUGCUGUAGCUUAACUAGAGAACUGCAUUUGAAACUAUGAGUCUAGAGUGUUGGAGAGGUAAGUGGAAUUCGUGGUGUAGGGGUGAAAUCCGUAGAUAUCGAGAGGAAUACUCAUUGCGAAGGCGACCUACUGGAACAUUACUGACGCUCAUGCACGAAAGCGUGGGGAGCAAACAGGAUUAGAUACCCUAGUAGUC
rnacentral:rRNA from 1 species